CCUACGGGGUGCAGCAGUGAGGAAUAUUGGUCAAUGGGCGUAAGCCUGAACCAGCCAAGUCGCGUGAGGGAUGAAGGUUCUAUGGAUCGUAAACCUCUUUUAUAAGGGAAUAAAGUGUGGGACGUGUCCUGUUUUGUAUGUACCUUAUGAAUAAGGAUCGGCUAACUCCGUGCCAGCAGCCGCGGUAAUACGGAGGAUCCGAGCGUUAUCCGGAUUUAUUGGGUUUAAGGGGUGCGUAGGCGGCCUUUUAAGUCAGCGGUGAAAGUCUGUGGCUCAACCAUAGAAUUGCCGUUGAAACUGGGAGGCUUGAGUAUGUUUGAGGCAGGCGGAAUGCGUGGUGUAGCGGUGAAAUGCUUAGAUAUCACGCAGAACCCCGAUUGCGAAGGCAGCCUGCCAAGCCAUGACUGACGCUGAUGCACGAAAGCGUGGGGAUCAAACAGGAUUAGAUACCCGGGUAGUC
rnacentral:rRNA from 1 species